AUUGAACGCUGGCGGCAGGCCUAACACAUGCAAGUCGAGCGAGCGGCGGACGGGUGAGUAAUGUCUGGGAAACUGAUUGAUGGAGGGGGAUAACUACCGGAUACGGUAGCUAAUACAGCAUACCAUCAGAUGUGCCCAGAUGGGUUUAGCUAGUAGGUGGGGUAACGGCUCACCUAGGCGACGAUCCCUAGCUGGUCUGAGAGGAUGACCAGCCAAACUGGAACUGAGACACGGUCCAGACUCCUACGGGAGGCAGCAGUGGGGAAUAUUGCACAAUGGGCGAAAGCCUGAUGCAGCCAUGCCGCGUGUGUGAAGAAGGCCUUCGGGUUGUAAAGCACUUUCAGCGGGGAGGCGUUACCCGCAGAAGAAGCACCGGCUAACUCCGUGCCAGCAGCCGCGGUAAUAC
rnacentral:rRNA from 1 species